rnacentral:misc_RNA from 1 species
GAUGAAGAACGUAGCGAAAUGCGAUAAGUAAUGUGAAUUGCAGAAUUCAGUGAAUCAUCGAAUCUUUGAACGCACAUUGCGCCCUCUGGUAUUCCGGGGGGCAUGCCUGUUCGAGCGUCAUUAUAACCCCUCAAGCUCAGCUUGGUGUUGGGGCCUGCUGCACUGGCAGCCCUUAAAAUCAGUGGCGGCGCCAUCUGGCUCUAAGCGUAGUAAUUCUUCUCGCUAUGGAGUCCUGGUGGAUGCUUGCCAUCAACCCCCAAUUUUUCUAUGGUUGACCUCGGAUCAGGUAGGGAUACCCGCUGAACUUAAGCAUAUCAAUAAGCGGGGA